UACGUAGGGUGCGAGCGUUGUCCGGAAUUAUUGGGCGUAAAGGGCUCGUAGGCGGUCUGUCGCGUUCGGCUGUGAAAACUCGGGGCUCAACCCCGAGCCUGCAGUCGAUACGGGCAGACUAGAGUGCUGUAGGGGAGACUGGAAUUCCUGGUGUAGCGGUGAAAUGCGCAGAUAUCAGGAGGAACACCGGUGGCGAAGGCGGGUCUCUGGGCAGUAACUGACGCUGAGGAGCGAAAGCGUGGGGAGCGAACAGG
rnacentral:rRNA from 1 species